rnacentral:rRNA from 1 species
UACGUAGGGGGCUAGCGUUGUCCGGAUUUAUUGGGCGUAAAGAGCGUGUAGGCGGCCAGGUAGGUCUGCUGUGAAAACUCGAGGCUUAACCUCGAGAUGUCGGCGGAAACCAUCUGGCUAGAGUCCGGAAGAGGAGAGUGGAAUUCCUGGUGUAGCGGUGAAAUGCGUAGAUAUCAUUUGGAACGCCAAUGGUGAAAACAGGUAGCUGGGGCUGUGCUGACACUGAGACACGAAAGCCAGGGGAGCAAACGGG